CAAUCUUUCCUUGGCAUCCCUUAAAACAUCUGCAAUAGUUUCAUCAUCAGGAGAAAUUUCAUGAGCUUCACUCAAAUCAGAUUCAGCAUCCUCCAAUCGGCCUAGUUCUUUAUAGGCUUUGCCCCUCCGGUAGAGAAGAGAGCUUUGAUAUUUUUUGAAUCAUAUUCCAAAACCUCUGAGCCUUCUUUUAUGCAUUCUUCAUACUGCCUAAUUUUCAGGUAACAUGACAUCAGGUUAAGA
rnacentral:misc_RNA from 1 species